ACGAUGAUAUUACACAGAUGGUAUAUGUCGCUGAUUUUUGUGACUAACAGUCAACACUACCUGACGAAAAUCAUUACCCUUCCGUCAUAAACGUUCGACACGUUCGGGCUCAUAACCAUUUGUUCAAGCAGGACCGAAACUUUUAAUCUCUAUUAUAAGUAUCUUACCAAACUCUAUUCUCCCGUCAAGGUUUCGGAAGCAGUGACGACAACGCCAGCUUCCUUUUCGUCUGUAGUUCACGUUUCACGAUGAUCUGAGCGAAGACUGCUUUAAAUGAUGAAGUUUCGAUAUUCAAUUCAGUAUCCUACAAAAGAAUUAAGCGGGAAGAUGUUGCAUAGAGGAAUCAAAUCUCAUGGUGAGAUUUUCCCUUGCCAGUGUAUGGGGCCAUGAGAUUAGCAAGGAGUAAGGGAGUCUUGUUUCAUUUUUUAAGAAUCAGGGUUAGAAGGCUGUCCAGUGAAACUGGGGACUGGCUGUGGAACAGAAAAUGGUGUAAUGGCAGCUAUGCAAUGCACAUUUCAACAAGAUGCAGAAGCACACAAGUAUGGGUCAUCUCUGGUGAACCAAAGGAUUGAGGGCUGGACACCUUCAGUCACAAUUCAAACAUGUGGUCUUCCAGGUCUUCAGUCUCUCCUGAAAAUGGAGUCACAAGACUGGAUCACAUAGAGAUCCUGUGCUAACCUACUGGAGCACAUUCCUUACCAAAAUCUGCCUCACCAUGAAGGUUGAUAGACAAGGAAACUGUGAAUAAGUUGUGGACACUUGAACAUUUAAAUGGGUUUUGAAUAUAAUUAAAUUUCUCUUUUAAAAAAAAAAUAGGCUUUUACAUGUUAACAUAGGUAGCCAAUGGGUAACUCUGGGAUAGAGUUGAUUGCUGGGGUGAUGUUGGGUGAAUAGUCCGAAUUCACAUUUUGGCUAUCAUUUGACCAGCACCAUUCCUUUAACUUCACUUUUGCCAUAAAAGUGUACACUUUUUAUGGCAGAUUUUUAACGUAACAUUUGUAUGAAUAUGCUGCAGGUUGUGAAUAAGUUACCCACUCCAUUCCUCCUUGUUCUUUUUGAAUAAGAUUCUAUUUGAUAGCAGUUGAAUCCCCAAAAAAUUACAAAUGAAUAAGUGGCUGGUUGGCUAUCAGUUUACAGGGUCCUUUUGAAUGAGAUCUGACUUUUGUUGCUAUGUCUUAUACUCAAUUUCAUAUUCAAUGCAGUCUUUCUUUUCUACAAGCCUGCUUAAUGUUUUCAAGAGAUGUGACCUUCUUGUUUCAGCUGUUGACAAUAAGCAAAACUAUGUAGGAUUAUCCAGCUGAUGUAACAUAGCAAACAAGUCUUUCUUGCAAUUUUCAAAGUAAGAUAAUCCUCCAAGAUUUCUUGAUACUCUAAACCCUUCAUCUUGAUGAAUUAAUUUAAUUACAUAAUCAUCUGAGUUUAGGUCACCUGCAAUAUAUUUGUUGCCUUUUGUUUCUUAUGCAGGCACAAUUUGAAUUUGUUUAAUUUGUAACUUUUUUUUAA